rnacentral:misc_RNA from 1 species
CCGAACUGUCGACAGGAGUUGUUGCUGGUCCUCAAACGGGGGGACAUGUGCACGCUCUUGUUUGUACAUCCACUCACACCUGUGCACCCUCUGUAGGUUCUAUGGCUGGGGGGUCCCAUCCUCCCACCGUGGUCCUGCAUCUUUACACACUCCCACUGUAUAAAAGUCUCAUGGAAUGUAUGUCGCGAUUAACGCAAUACAAUA